AGCGUCUUAAAUAACAAGUUAUGCGGAGUGGGUGGCGGACCUUUGUGAAAAGGUGCGCUUGGAUGAGUUUGGUGUAAAAAGAGCAAGCCUUUCAGAGGAUCAAAAGUCGAGACGGUGGAAAAUCAGUGGCAAAGGCUCGAACCGCACCGCAAUCCCUCCACUUCCUGUUUGUCGGAAUGCGUCGAUUUACUUUUGUCUAUGCUGAGAGACAUUCUUGCGGUCAACAGUCACAGACUCAAAUAGCCUCUGACGCAGUGUCUGCUCAACACAUGGCCUCCUCCAUCGCCUCGUCUGUCAACGACCGCCGUGCAAACAGUGCAACACCUCCUCCCAUCAGGAGCAGCCUGGGAAUUACCGAUAACGUAGUGAUAAUUCUGAGGCACAAGCGAGGCCUUGACGUCACAAGCAAGUGAUGAGAGAAAGCGAUGACACAGAUUAAGAAAUAAAAAGGAAGGAGAGCAGUGGAGGCAUUUCUUCGUCUGCUGUUCGAGGUUCUGGGAAGUAGACCGGACCCCUUCCUGCAAGUCCCACUUGAGCAGGGGGCCAUCCAUCAGCCCAGACACAUUGAGCUAUGUCAGCACGUCAGGAUAAGGAGCUGGGAAGACGGGAUGGAUGGCAGCAAGCUAUGUCGAGAGGUCACACGGGGUCCUGGUGGCAGGACGGGAGGAGAUGGGGGUGGGGGGGGGUGACGUAAUGCGUAUGUGACCGGUGGAAAAAAAGAUUGCGCUGGGACAAGUUUCCCCACUCCAAAAACCAGGAAGAACGUUGGGCAUCUCAUGGGGGCGAAACAUGGUUUUCAGCAUUUCGAGGAUAUUUUUUUCAGGAAAGCAAGACUAAUGAAGCCAAUUAGAGCACAACUACCCGUCUCGUCAGGCCAACGCUGACCUGAUUGGAAGCCAUUACGGACGUGCCUCUCUCUCUCUCUCUCUCUCUCUCUCUCUCUCUGCAAUAACGCCACCUUGGAUAAGUUGCCUCAUCCUAUUAUCACAUGGCAUUAUGAGUGUAAAUCAAUCACAGGCAGGAAGUGAUCCGGGCGGGUACAGGUACACAGGAAAUUAGAAAGAAGGUGGUGACAAGAAGGAAAAUAAUAAAUAAAAUCAACAGGAAAUUGGACAUUCAGGAAGUAGGUGACAGUGCUGUGCGGAAGAAAAGAAAUUCAGCCCCAAAGUUUCACUUGGCAACUUGAAGUUUGGAAGGCAUGUCAUUGAUGAGGACACCCUGAGGUCCGAAAAGCCAAAAUACCACAGAAAGUCAGACAUGUUGGUUUGAAGUGGCCAUCAUGUCAAAAAUAUUUUCAUUU